rnacentral:rRNA from 2 species
UGGGGAAUUUUGGACAAUGGGGGCAACCCUGAUCCAGCAAUGCCGCGUGAGUGAAGAAGGCCUUCGGGUUGUAAAGCUCUUUUGUCAGGGAAGAAACGGGAGUGGCUAAUAUCUGCUUCUAAUGACGGUACCUGAAGAAUAAGCACCGGCUAACUACGUGCCAGCAGCCGCGGUAAUACGUAGGGUGCAAGCGUUAAUCGGAAUUACUGGGCGUAAAGCGUGCGCAGGCGGUUUUGUAAGUCUGUUGUGAAAUCCCCGGGCUUAACCUGGGAAUGGCAAUGGAGACUGCAAGGCUAGAGUUUGGCAGAGGGGGGUAGAAUUCCACGUGUAGCAGUGAAAUGCGUAGAGAUGUGGAGGAACACCGAUGGCGAAGGCAGCCCCCUGGGUCAAGACUGACGCUCAUGCACGAAAGCGUGGGGAGCAAACA